rnacentral:rRNA from 1 species
ACGGGGGAUGCGAGCGUUAUCCGGAUUUAUUGGGUUUAAAGGGCGCGUAGGCGGGAUGCCAAGUCAGCGGUAAAAGACUGCAGCUAAACUGUAGCACGCCGUUGAAACUGGUGACCUCGAGACGAGUCGAGGAUGGCGGAACAAGUGAAGUAGCGGUGAAAUGCUUAGAUAUCACUUGGAACCCCGAUAGCGAAGGCAGCUGUCCAGACUCGAUCUGACGCUGAUGCGCGAGAGCGUGGGUAGCGAACAG